GCCAGACUCCUACGGGAGGCAGCAGUGGGGAAUAUUGCACAAUGGGGGAAACCCUGAUGCAGCGACGCCGCGUGAGUGAAGAAGUAAUUCGUUAUGUAAAGCCCUAUCAGCAGGGAAGAAAGAAAUGACGGUACCUGACUAAGAAGCCCCGGCUAACUACGUGCCAGCAGCCGCGGUAAUACGUAGGGGGCAAGCGUUAUCCGGAUUUACUGGGUGUAAAGGGAGCGUAGACGGCAGUGCAAGUCUGAAGUGAAAGGCGGGGGCCCAACCCCUGGACUGCUUUGGAAACUGUGCUGCUGGAGUGCAGGAGAGGCAAGUGGAAUUCCUAGUGUAGCGGUGAAAUGCGUAAAUAUUAGGAGGAACACCAGUGGCGAGGGCGGCUUACUGGACUGUAACUGACGUUGAGGCUCGAAAGCGUGGGGAGCAAACAGGAUUAGAUACCCUUGUAC
rnacentral:rRNA from 1 species